GUUUUACGAAAUUUUACGAACAUUAUUUUUAGUUUUAAUUCUUUUAGGAAAUAGUCUUGCCUAAAUUUAAUCUUUACGUCCCAAAUAUUAUUUACAUCGGAGUUGCAUCAUAAAUUGUACUCGGAUUCAAACGACACAAUGUCAAUGAUUUUAUAAAAGUAAAAGCAUAUUGUGUAUUGGCCUAUUGGGUUUACACUUUUACAGCUUCAUUUAACUUUAACUCUCUCAAGUCUCAACAGACAAUCGGACAGGCCAAAUCCAUUGAUAUGACAACUUCAAAAAACUUUU
rnacentral:lncRNA from 1 species